AACGAACGCUGGCGGCAGGCUUAACACAUGCAAGUCGAACGGGUGUAGCAAUACAUCAGUGGCAGACGGGUGAGUAACACGUGGGAACCUUCCUAGGGGUACGGAACAACUCAGGGAAACUUGAGCUAAUACCGUAUACGUCCGUAAGGAGAAAGAUUUAUCGCCCUUAGACGGGCCCGCGUCGGAUUAGCUAGUUGGUGGGGUAACGGCUCACCAAGGCGACGAUCCUUAGCUGGUCUGAGAGGACGAUCAGCCACACUGGGACUGAGACACGGCCCAGACUCCUACGGGAGGCAGCAGUGGGGAAUAUUGGACAAUGGGCGCAAGCCUGAUCCAGCCAUGCCGCGUGAGUGAUGAAGGUCUUCGGACUGUAAACCCCUUUCGGGAGGGAAGAUGGAGCGAGCAAUCGUUCGGACGGUACCUCCAGAAGCAGCCA
rnacentral:rRNA from 1 species